rnacentral:rRNA from 1 species
GACGAACGCUGGCGGCGUGCUUAACACAUGCAAGUCGAACGAAGAGCGAUGGAAGCUUGCUUCUAUCAAUCUUAGUGGCGCACGGGUGAGUAACGCGUAAUCAACCUGCCCUUCAGAGGGGGACAACAGUUGGAAACGACUGCUAAUACCGCAUACGAUCUAACCUCGGCAUCGAGGAAAGAUGAAAGGUGGCCUCUAUGUAUAAGCUAUCACUGAAGGAGGGGAUUGCGUCUGAUUAGCUAGUUGGAGGGGUAACGGCCCACCAAGGCGAUGAUCAGUAGCCGGUCUGAGAGGAUGAACGGCCACAUUGGGACUGAGACACGGCCCAGACUCCUACGGGAGGCAGCAGUGGGGAAUCUUCCGCAAUGGACGAAAGUCUGACGGAGCAACGCCGCGGGAGUGAUGACGGCCUUCGGGUUGUAAAGCUCUGUUAAUCGGGACGAAAGGCCUUCUUGCGAAUAGUGAGAAGGAUUGACGGUACCGGAAUAGAAAGCCACGGCUAACUACGUG